CGCCCCGGCCGGGCCGCGGGGCGGAGCCGCGGGAAAGCGGCCGCUGCAGCCGCCCGUGGCUGCCGCGGCACCAGUAGCGCAGGGCGUUUGGCGGUUGCCGCGACCCCCCCCAUCACUGGCCUUCUGCCUCUCGCCGCCCGGUGUGGCCGCCGUGCCGGGGGCCGGAGCGGCGCGGCCCGCCCCGCUCCCUUCGCCUCUCCCGCCGCCGCGCAGGCCCGGCGCUGUGAGGUUGGGCGGUGCGAGGCAUGAAGCUGACCAAAGCCCAGUACGAUGAAAUAGCCCAGUUCCUGGGGCAUGUGCAGCCCACCCGGCAGAGCCUGAGGCAGCUGAAGGAGAAGUUCCCUAGUCAAUCGCAGUCCACUCUGCUGAGCAUCUUCUCCCAGGAGUACCAGAAACAAAUCAAAAGAACACAUGCCAAGCAUCACACUGCUGAAGCUAUUGAAACUUAUUACCAAAGGUACCUGAAUGGGGUGAUGAAAAAUGCAGCUGCCCCUGUGUUACUGGAGCUGGCCAAUGAGGUGGAUUUUGCCCCAUCACUGAUGGCUCGUAUUGUGUUAGAAAGGUUUCUACAAGAAAAAGAACAAGCCAUCCCCUCCAAAACUCUUAUAAAUAGUAUGCUACGGGACCCUUCUCAGAUUCCAGAUGGAGUUUUAGCAAAUCAAGUCUAUCAGUGUACUGUGAAUGACUGUUGUUAUGGACCACUGGUGGACUGCAUCAAACACGCUAUUGGGCAUGAGCAUGAAGUCUUGCUGCGAGAAAUGCUUUUGGAAAAAAAUCUCUCUUUCAUAGCUGAAGAUCAGCUUCGUGCAAAGGGUUAUGACAAAACACCAGACUUUAUUUUAGAAGUGCCAGUAGCUGUUGAAGGACACAUAAUUCACUGGAUUGAAAGCAAAGCCUCAUUCGGUGAUGAAAGUAGCCACCAAGCCUACUUGCAGGACCAAUUUUGGAGCUACUGGAACAGAUUUGGCCCUGGAUUGGUCAUCUACUGGUACGGAUUUAUUGAAGAGCUGGACUGCCAUCGUGAACGCGGUAUCCUGCUGAAAGACUGCUUUCCUACUGACAUCGUGACUCUGCGACACAGCAUGGCUCAGUGCUGAUGUUGGGAGGAAGAGGUAAAUCCGGAAGCAAUUUUACUUUCCUGCAGUGUAAACUGAUGGCAGCAUCUGCCCUGAACUUCAGCUGAACUCCUGCUGCCCGCCCUUACGCUACUGCCUCCUUACACAAACAUAUCAAGAGUUUCUGUUUUGCUUCAGACCUCUGUUGUGAUCAGCCAAAAACGACAGACACAACCCACUCAUUAUCAGCAUUUCUGUCUCUGUCAAACAGCUAGUUUCUAGAUACUCAUAAUCUUUCUUCCUUCCGGAUGGCUGCUUCUAACAUUCUAAACAAAGACAAAAAUGCACAACAAAAGGUGCAACUUUCAGUUCUUACCCCUGUUACGGAAUCACUGUUAAAAAUAAGUAGCUUUUUAUGGUUUCACUCACAAGUUUACUCAGUGCUAGUGAUCUGACUGAAACACCUACAGUGAUGUGGAAAAUUGGUAAAGACUCUUAUUCUGGGACUUAAAAAGAAUAUAAUGCACAGCUCCUAAAGCACAAGUGGUAAGACAGGAUCACGUAAGUUCUGGCUGUUACAGUAAAUAGCCAGGUUUGAGGACGAUAAUUUGUAUAUGUGUUUCAUCACUAUCUGAUUGCUAAAAUCAACAACGGCAUCCCAAGUAAUCAACUGAAAAAUAUCUAAGUUAGGGGAUUUUUAGAGAAGAGGCGAAAGUGAAGAGCAAGGGUUUAUUUUAUGGAUAUGAGCCUGUGAAGUUUGAAGCUAGUUUUGUGGGGGUUUUAAUAAGCAUUUUAAUGACUUAAAAAUAACUUGUGUUUUGUCUUUUCCUCCCCGCUCCCUCCCCGGAACCUAGACCUAGGAAGUCUCUUAACUGACUUUAAGGAAGGAAUCGGUCUUGACCCCUGUAGGUACUGUAACAUACCAUUUUCUGGCAUACUGAAGUCCAAAAGAACAAUGUGUGGGAGCUCUCUAUGUGGGUUACUUCUGAAGAAGAUUACCAUCCUGGUGUUCAAGAAGGGGAGUGAAUAAAAGAAUCACGUACCUAAUCCAAAGCUCUGCUUGCUUUAUGAAGAGAAACAAAAGCCUUCCUCUCACACGUGCCAAGCCUGGCCAAAGUUGUUCUUGUAGCUGCUUCUGAAGAAAGUCAACCUGCAGCCUCCUGAAGGACAACAGAUGGAAACCUCACUGUCACCAGAGACUUAGAUGGCAGCUGUACUUUGCCCAGUCCUGGCUUGCAAGACCCUGUGAAGGAACCCCACCUUGCUGGGCCAGUACACAGGUGUCCUACCACCCAGAGAGGGGAACAAGGUUCCUUCUGCUGCAUUGCAUUCAGUAAAAGGCUUUGUCUUUGAAAUCAAAAGCAAUUUUGUUCUCCCAGUAUACUCUGCUAGUUGUACCUAUGAUACUUGCUUUUUUGUUUGUUUCCAAUUCCGCUAAUGAGAUUUUCCAUUAUUCUUUCCUUUAUACAGUUUUCACUGCUUUCUGCCAUCUGAUUCAAUCUGAUAAAUCUCCCCUAUUCCCUUUCCGUGUGUUUUUACUCUAGGAUUUAAAAAACAAGUGUUCUUAGAGGCAUAGUAGCCAGCAUGUUUACAGCAGUGACGCCUUAAAACUAAUGUACGCAAGUUGUUCUUUUAAAUGUUGGCCAGUCAAACGCAUUGCUGUGCUUCCCACUGAUCCACUAACAAUGUUAAAGCACGACUUCCUCUGUCUAUUUAGCCCUUGUGUGGCAAGCCCAUAAGUGAUGGCUUCCUGGUUUUAUAAAUACUAGCAGCUAAACAGUAAAGCAUUUUCUGAUUUCUUGGCCCCAUACUUCCUUCAAAGAUAUCAAAAAGUAUUUUCCUGAAUUCUUUGGCAAGGCACAUUUGAUGUGACUCAGGAGCAGAAGAAAACAAAGGAGAGGACCCAUCACAGGGAUUAAGUCUCAGGUUUAGAUCCAGGCCCUGACAGUCCAGUGACAGAAGAACGAAACUAACUGUUUCAUCUCUUUAGCUGUGUUCAGCAUCUGGCUCUACAGAAUUGAAUCAGCAAUAGGAUUAGUACUGACCUUAGCAGAACAAGAUGUUCACCACACUGGCUUAGGGUCUGAAGGCAGUUUUGCAAUGUGUUCCCAUCGUCUGCAGUCGUACUCUGAUCUCCCCUGUCUCUCUCCUCCUCGCUGCAGUGCUUUCUCUCAGCUCCACAGGUCCAGAUUGAGAGGCAGCUUGUGAGACACAUAUACUUAGCUAGAUGUAUUCCAUUUGCCAAAGUGCUAAAAAUGAAGAUAUUUUUAAAUAAUUGUUUCAUUGUCUAGUUUGUUUAAUCUUUCUGCAUUGUUCUCACUUUGGAAAAUUCCAUUCACCCACAUGACUGGGAUAAUACCUUCACCAGAAACACCCUUGAUUUACUUUAUCUGCUUAAGUUGUGGAGCCAGGUCUUCUCCUGUCCGUGCUGUAAACCAGCACUUCUUCAGCAACUUAAAAAAUGUUUCUGUAUUUGCCAAUUUACAAUUAUUAAAGCUCUGGUGGUGCAAUAUAAAAGUCAAUGCCUGGAGAAGGAAAACUGAGCUGAUAGAUUUCUCUUCUUUGCAUAUAGCCUCUGCCAAAAAUACCAUGAUAUAGAUACCACAAGCAUAUUGGCAAGUUUUAGAUCUAUCUGAGUGGCACAAAAGUAUGCUGCGUGGCAGAUGAGCACACUGAAGGUCCAUAAGUUUGUCAUGAAAUAAGAGGGGUCUUUGAAUGGAUAAAAUUACCUGUGUGCCAUUGUUCAUUUAGUGAAAAGGGGUCAUAAAGUACCGUUUUAAUUCAGUUUAAAAGAAAAAAAAAAAAAAAAAAAAAACCACCACACUAAACACCACAGCUUUCAGAAUGUAACUGAUUUCUUCCAAAACUGUUCACUGGCUGAUAUACAGCACAUUGUAACAUUAUUUUGUUCAUAUUUUAAAAGAUGUGUCUUGAGUCACUGAACCAGCUCAAAAUAUAAACCUCAUCAGAUCACAAAAAUGCUGAAUGAUUUUCAAAUAGGUGAAUGAGUGCUGAUGCUGGGCUGUGCGAGACACAGAUCAGCCAUUCUUCCAUAUUUCUAAACGUAUGAAAACUAAACAAGAUGCAUCUCCACAGGCUGAAGUAUGGCUGACCUGAUCCAAGGAAUGAAGGGAAACGCAACUGUCUCUUGUAAAGCACUUGAUCAACCUGUCUCCAUAUUUCAACCUUCCUUACAAUGAACCAACCACUUAGAGUUUAUAAGAUGGAGGUUAAGACAAACACUUUAACCUACCGAUGAAUACAGCUGUAAUGAAAUAGCAAUACAACGAUGCUUUCCUUCUCUUGUGCCCCAAAUGUCAGCUGUGCCACUGAGGGAUUUUAAGUGUGCUUAAGUGUUUGGGGUUUGGACUUUUUUUGCUUUGCUGUUACUUGUUGUGGGUGGUGAAUGCUCUUGAUUUUCCCAAUUACAGCAAAGGCAAGAAAGAAGGAGAAAAAUUAAAGUACUUUAAGAAGGAAAAAAAAAAUUGCCAGGAACACUAGGAGGCCAAGACAGACACAGUCAGAGGCCUGGAAAUUUCAUUAGAAAGUCUGUUCACAUGAUGCCUCCAGAUUCAAAAGACUGUCAUCGAAUUGCACGGUCUGAAUAUAAUGGAGAUACAAAGAUAGAGUUAAUACCAAAGGUGGCCAGGAGGACUGCUAGCAUAAUGUGUGAAAUGGGAAGAUGAGAAUUGGACUAUCAGAACCUGUAGUGAGCUGUCUAUUAGAUAUGACUUUUCUCCUUGUGAAAUUAGCAGAUUUGUCACAAAAAUAGUUCAGGCAGAAUGAAUUCAUAAACCUCUGAACUGCAAGAUGAGAUUUCUCUUCAAAGGGUCUGGUGUAUCUAGCUAAUCAGGUGGCAAGACAAAAAGCCCAGCAAGCAUGCCAAUAAGAAAAAAAAAAAAAAAAAAAAAAAAAAAAAACCACACACACCACCGAACAGAUAAUCCUCAGGUUCCAGAUUCAUCAGGGAGAGCGAGCUGAGAUUUAUACGGUGGGUUUACGCUAAACACUUUUACUUGCAGAAGUAAAGCUGAAGUCAUGCAACUGGAGCUCUAUGGAUACAGAAAGCUUUCCUGGCUGUACCAUCAGAAACACAUCACUGGCAUAUUCCACAGCUCCUGCAUGAUGCCCCACUUUAGCUACCUCUGUUGUCAAUGCAGGGAGACAGGCUUUGGCCCCAACAGCAGUUCCACCUGGCACAAUCUUCUAAAAACUUCCAUCAAAAGUUACAGCUUGAAGUACAAAACCAUUGUGUGUGAAAGAAGUGUCCAGUUACCUCAUCUGAGACUUGGGGAUGAUUUAGUCAUGCAGAGUAGCCUAAGAGAAGGUGACUGCUGUCAUGAAGAUGUGUACGAAGCUAGAAACUUUGUGAAGGUGCCUGCCUUGGGCAGCUCACCGGCUAGAAUUAUGAGUAACAGAAUUAAUACUGGCGGGGUGCACAUCUUAGUAUGUUAUACACUUGGGAAAGUAUUAACUCUGAAGUUUACUGGAGCAGACAGACUAUAGUAGCAAGGCAGGAAGGGAUCACAGCAAAAAGCAGCCCAGCGCAGUUCUAAAAAUAGUCUUGUUUGAGCAGCAACUAAAAACUCAAAUUAGAUACCUGCCUCAGACCUCAUAACAGACUGUGAUUCUUCCAGAUACAUAAAUCUCGUGCUGAGAAGUCCCAGUGAACACUAACAUUUGUUCUGCUAGUAAUGCGUAAGGGUUGGUGAAUAUUCUUCAGAGACAACUAAUGUAACAAUACUUGUAAGGUGCAAGCUUGUCCCACCACACCGCUGACACAGCUAAACUGAGGCAUUAAAAGUAAGUUUAUUGCCAACGACUGCACUAGAGUAAAACACAAUAGACAGCAGCUCAGUUUCCAAGUCCUGUGUAUAGCUGUGCUUCUGUACUCCUGUGUUUUGCUUUUCUGAUUUAACAUUUGUUUGGGGUUGGAUUCUUUUGUUUGGCUGGUUUUGUUUCCCACGUAUCUUUCAAAGGCAAUCUUAUGCUGCACAGACUAAAAUAUUUGCAGUGUACUUUUGUUCUUACUGUGUACUCAGCAAAUUUUCUCCAAAGCAAGGCCAAGUGAGGUUAUGAUACACUGAAUCCGAAGAGGACUUUGCAAAUAAGUCAGCGCACACAUUUGUAUUUUUGUUUGUCCUGUGAAAUUCAAGUACUGUUAGCAGCAGAAAUUAUCCACUUAAAUGUGUCAGGCUUAUCUCAUCUCUAAAAAUUCUUAUACAUAGCCCUUAGAAGUAAUUUAGCCCUACCAGUGGUGUUCACGGGAGGAUAUUAACCUCUUAAUUUAGAAAGGCAGACUACAGCGUCUGAGCACUGCGUGACAAUCCAUAUACUACAACCUACAAGAGAUAGCUUCUUGUCUUAUCUUCCAAAAAAAAUGAAUUGAGAAAUCAUGAGUGGGAUUUUUCUAGCGCAGUCAGCAAUAGCUUAACUCAUUGCCUCUAGACAUCACUUACCAAUUCUUUUAGAGGAAUCCAAGUUAAGGCAAUUGCCAAAUGCUCUUGAAAAUCCCUGUCCAGCUUUAUAAAAAACUUCAAUUUGAAAUGAAAUGCAGCUGUAUUUUUUAUUUAUUUUUAUUUAAGAGCAUAGACACAGUUACAUGGAUGCUGUCAGUCAAGGAGAAGCAACUCAGCUGUAUAUCCAAUUUGUUCAGGUAUAAAGCUGACUUUAUAGAUAGAUAGAUAGAUACACACAGACUAUUCUUUAGCAGGAGAUGUAGCAGAUAGAAAGGCAGAAUCCCAGUGGGAUGUUUAUUGCUAACAAAGCAUUGGGAGUGGUCUACGAGAGAAAGAGCUUUAGUCAGUGAUGCAUUCUAGAACAUAAAGCAGGUUUUACAAACUCUGCAAAGCUAAGAAGUCCAUAGUAUGAAAUGCUGCUGAGCUCACAGCAGCACCACACAGAUACCGCAAUCACAUGUUGUGCAUCUCAACUGUUCCAAGGAAAGAAAUAUGAAAUGCUUAUUUAGGGGCCUCAGCUCCCCGUGUCAUCACUGAAGGGGCUAUCCACCCCAGAAGGUGCAAUGGGGACCACCUUCGGGCUGAGCAGCCACCUGAAGGUCAACACAACUACUGCAGCAGGAACCCACUGGGGAGAACUGCAUGCAAAUUCCUUUUUGCCCCUGAAGCAGGAGUCUUCAUUAAGACAUAGCAGCGCCUCCACCUACUCACAAACCAAAGCCUUAAAUUUAAGUGCCUACAAAUGCUUUCCCAAUAAACAAAUGUAGAGAACUCUUCCAAAGUACUUCUGUAUCUUCCAGACAUAAAUCCCUCUCUCAGUGCACUUGCAUGGAAAGGCAGGUGGUUACAGCACCUUCUUGGGCUCAGAAAGGCACAAGUGGGUGUCCAAACUUGUAGGCACAAUUGACAGUCUCCACUCUCAUCUGUCACAGUCAUUCUGAUGCAGAAAGAACUCAAGUUUCAUGGGCCAGAAAGUAGGAAAACGAACGAGCAUCACAGUACUAUUUCAGUUAUUUCUUCAGUCAAUCUAAAUCUCAUAUGAAGGAGAAAACUAAAUACAUAUUAAUGCACUUAGCAAAAUGCAAUUGUAUAAGAGGGGGGACAGCAACUCACUCUCCUCCCAUGUGUUCUGUAAAGAAAAAAGUUGCUAUCACUCCACUUUAAGUAGAGAUUGAUUGACUUACCAUAUGUAGGUUUGCUUUUAGAUUAACAUACAGUUGAAACCCGAUAGAGAAGUUUCCCCAACUUCUGGAUCCUACCCAGGAAAAAAGCCUGAACAAGGUGACAAGGUGAAAGUGCUCCAGGGUGCGGGGAGCAGAACUUCAGGCUUGUGGGGAAUUCUGGGGUCAAAACCUGAGGUCUAGUUUGCCCUGGACACCUGGGAAAUGAGCUGCUGGAACCAGGAUCUGCAAGAAUGACGUUCCAAGUUUAUGCAUCUAAAUUAAUUCCUUUUGAAUCUAACCUUUAAGAUUAGAAUAGCAGAGACUCAAAAUCUAACAAAAGAGAAGACAAAUAGAUUGACUUUUCAUCUCACUGGCAGUACAGAGAAGCCUUUCUUCACAUGCUCAGCUACCUAAUGUUUCAGAUGAAACAGAUGUUUCUGUAACCAGUGUAUAAUUUUUACAUUACAAAAAUUAAGUAGAAAGACUCAAUAAAGAGUUUAAGGAAUCUAAUCAUCUCUCUUUCCCUAACUCUAAACGGGACAACCGUUUUCUAUAGGCUUCUUCAGUGGCACAGCCCAGCUACACUGGUUUAUAAACCUUACUCUAGAGAAGCUUAGCAGGAAAGGUAGCAUCCAAAAAAAGAAUGGAAGAUAGAUAGGUAAAAAAUACCCUUAAUACCGGUAUGGAAUUUGCACCAGCUAAAGAUGAAGUAAACAUGAACACAAGAGCCCAAUCUUCUUGCCAUGCCUUUUUGGUUGAUGCUAACAUAUACAAUUACACACUUCUAAGUUCCCCCCCAUUAUGAGAUGUUAACUUUAAACCCAGUAUUUCUCUAUCAUGCCUUGCCAGACUUGUUUGUUUGUUUGUUUGCAUUCAAACCAUGAGGUAAAUAAUCUAGUGAUUUGGCACAGCCUAAGUUCAUAGGGAAAGUUCACCCAGGAAGUGCCAAGCACUCCAAAAAUUAAGCUAGGUAAGGCAUUUAGGUACUCGGAAAUGGGGGGUUCCAUGGUUUGCAUUGAGUCACCCUCCAUGACCGCCACUGGGACCAGAAGUACCCUUUUAUAGAGCAACCCAUUUCCUUCAGUAUUCAGAGGAUCUCGAGUCUGAGCUCCUACUGUUCUGUGCAUUUUUUUGCAGUCUUUAAACCUUUCGAGCUGCCAUACACUGAGAUUGCAAAUUCUCUGUGGUGCCGAACGCCCCCAAUUCCCUGAAUUAUCGCCAUAACUCAUUACAUGAGUAGGCCUUGCUGGUUUAACAGACAGAAUUAAGAUCACAGUGGAUCCUACGUGGCAUUUUAUGAGUACACCAGAAGGCUGAACAGAAGAACUCACCCAGGCACAAACAAUUCCUGUAUGAUAUAACAGGAUUAGCAAAAAAAAAAAAAAGAAACCACCACACUAUAUAAGCUUGAAAACACUUGCCUCACUCUUCUGUGGUUUGAGAAGUGAAGUCUAGCACAGCAAAACAAAAAUCAGACCUACUUUUAAUCUGUGAACAGCUCUCUUGAUGAAAUCUGUCAUGUUUCUGGCUUCUUUUGUUCCUUGUGAAAAGAGCAAAAAUGUUAUUUUUCGUAGAGAAUUUCCAAAUGUUUUAUCUUUAUUAAUGUUUCUUUAUGAUAUAGUUCGUCACUGCAGGCAAAUCUCAUUCAUUAAUUCUUCCAUUGUCAAAACAACAUAACCAAUAGUUUAUAACAUGAAUCUUGGACAUCAAUCAUAAUAUAGAGAUUCCCCAUUAUGUACAGGAUUGUCUAUUCUGAUAUGUUUGAAAGGCCAGUCAUGACUGGUUAUACAUUAAUCUGUUCCUAUGAGCAGCCUAAUAUUCUGUAUUGAAGCAGUCAGCCUAUUAAUGGCAUAUGAAGUUUUUAGAUGCUUUUGUCACUGUUUGUGGUCUUCCAGAUGGUAAGAAAUUAAUCGCUAGGUUUAAAUAUUUUUUUAAUGCUCUUUCUGUGAGUUUCAUAUUUGAUGCAAGAUUUGGCAAGUCCUCUGAAGUUUGGGUUCUUAAAGAUACAGCCUUCUACCCAAAAAGCUUGAGAUCCUUAUUCCAUGUUACUAAAAUGCAAACAAGAAAUGAAAACUAUUGGGAAGGAGGCAAAAAAAUUAUGUAAUAGAAGUGAUUAAUAGUUUAAUUUCUUACAAAAGAGUUAAGCAAAACGUAGCCUAUCUAAGUGUUCAAAAAAAUAUGGCUGUUUCAAGACCUCUUUAGAAAGAUUUAUCCAUCAGCUGUCAUUUUUCUCUUAAGCAGGAUACACAAAGAUUCAGUGCUGCCAGCACCUGAUAUACACAUUUAAGAGACCUCAAUGCCUUUUCUUUGAGGUAACUUGAAGAAAGAGCACAAAACCAAAACAAUAGUAGCCAGAGUGCUUCUCGGGGCUCUUUUUUUUUUUUUUUCUUUUUUUGAUUUUGGGGCUCUUAGUGCUGGCAAUUUUUAAUUGAUGGGGGAAAGUGGAGAGGAGACCACUCAAGUCAUCGCUGCAUCUGUGGGUAUUAUGUGAUUAUUUAAAGGAUCUAAAAUCUGCAUAUCCCAUUUGCUUUUUUACACAACUAUAAGCAGAUCUAACACCACAAAAACCCAUAGCAAAUCACCAGAAUGGGGGAAAUCAGAGGAGCUGAGGGCUACAAGUGACAGGCUGUUACGUUGCAAAGCAGUAAGUCAUCUCCUGCAAAGUUUUGAGGCAGAAGAAGGGAGUAAAGAGGAAAAAGCAAUGGGCUUCAAGUCUUAAAACUUGAUGAUCAAACAGGCAAUAGAUGACAGGUGAUUAUCAGUUUGGAACGGUGCAGUCCUAUGUACCAGGUGCUUCAGCUCUGGUGGGAAAGACACAAGCUUGUGCUUAUUUAGGAAGCAGAUUUAUCCCAUUCUUAAACUGCCGGAGACCCCCCCUGCUUGGGUCAGAGGUCACAUCUAGUCUGAUUUCUGAGAGGCAUGUUCUUUCAUAAAAGCAGAACAGCACAGCCAGCUCACUAAGAACAUUUACCCCAGGUAAACUGCAGUUAGGUGGCCCAGGCAGCAGAACCUUGCGAGCUUCCCUCAGCAGCCACCCACACCAAGCUGACCCCCUGCCCAAAAACCAGAGCGUGCAAAAGCCGCAGCCACCCCGCUCACUUUAGAAGUAUUUAAAGGGUCCUGGACUGCUUUCACAGGUGGGCUGUCAUCACUCGAGAAAUUGUUCUGCUUCCCCACUUCUCCGCCCUGAGUGAAGGUGCUUUGCCAGGGCGCUGAGGAUCACCUCCAGGCAGGAGGCAGCCUCCGGUCCCCAGCCCACUGGCUGCACGCCGGGCAGUGGGAGGCCAGCGCACCGCGGCCGGCAGGGCGCUGCAGCACGACCAAGAGCAGCACCCCACUGGCAGCCCACAGUCCCCUAGGCAGCCUGGGGACACUGGUUUACCUCUCAGCUUUCCCCUCCUUUACCUGGAAGUUUCUCAAACGCCUUCUCACCAGCCAAAAACAGGAGACCGUUUUUAUCCGAAUUAUCACUGCUGACAUUCCCCAGCUAACCACUAACCUGGCUGAGCAGAGGAAAACUGAUACAAAGGAGAAUAAGGGGAACACUGGGUUUUCUUAUUUCUUGUUGGCAAAAAUUGUGACAGUUGACAGCUAUCCCAUUCCUAUGGCUGAUUUUGACCAAGACGGCAAGCAUAUUGAAUGAAAUAUCACAGUUUAGACUUAGAAGCAACAACUGGGUUCUUUGUUUCAAGUUUUGUUUUGAUUUUAAGUAAAUACUGCAUUCUUUUCUUUCUCCAGUUCCCAAUUCUUGUCAGGCCACGUUCCUUCAUCUGCAGUGAUUUGCAGUUUUGGAAGAACAUGCCACCAUGGAGAUCCGAAUACAUACACAGUUAUGUUUCCUUGCUACUACGCACCACACCUAAAGAAGGUCCUUGUAUCAUUGAUGUUGCUAUCCCUGAUGUUGUACACAUGUGGAAAAUAUCUUCAGUUACCAGUACAGUAUUUGUGAAGAAAAAGAAAGCAUUAGCUAACCUUAACAAAAAAAAAACAAACAAAAAAAAAAAGGGGGGGGAAAACUAAUGUUCACCACAUGCAGUGCCUUAAGAAUUCAGAUGAACUUUCUGUGCUUCUCUUCUUUUGCUUUGGAAAAAUGUGUAAGCCAUGAUUUUAAAUCAUUUGCAAACUCCCCAGCUUUAUUAACGUAGGCUGACUGCAUGAAAGCACUAUUUUAACCUUAAACUGGACUACUAAUAAAAUCCCUACACAAUACCAGAUAUGUUUAAUUUCAGCUUUUAUUGCACUAUUAUUCUAGUGGAUCCCAAGAACAUCUGAUUGAAGUUACCUUAAAAGUUCUGCAUUUAAAUUAGAUACGGAACCAAAUAAACUCCACUGAUCACAACAACCUUGAACUAGUGGAAAUUCAGAUCUAGAUCCAGGCUUUGCAGCUGGAUUCCAUCCCAAGUUUAAAUGCGACUGAGAAUCAAAGAGUGUUGUGGCUGCACACACAGUUUACAGGAAAUAUUCAAUUCAACAUUUUUGGUAGGUGUUCCAUCCUUUCAUUACCCUCAAAUUUCUGCCCAACUCUUCAUACCGAUAGCUGAAUUCAGACUCUUGCUUUUUUUCAGAACCAACUAAAGCCUUAACAGGCACAUCACUUCACUACAGAAUAAAGAUAGUGGCACUGAUUUGAAUUCAAACCUCUAUGAACAACUGUUUCACAUCUAAGUAAUUGCACCAGCAGUAGUGGGGUUGCCUCCUUGUUUGGGGGAGGGGGGGGCAUUGGAAUCACAGCCCAUGACUUAAUCAUACAACAUGAAAAGCCUUUGGGCUAUCUUCUCAGCUGGGAUAAAUAAGCAGAGCUCUAUUGGUUUCUGGGUGAAUGAGAUUAUAAUUUGAAUCAGAAGCAUGGUGUUUGUUUAUACCAUAACAAAGUAUCACAGAAGUGUGUAUCAUAAGCCUUAAAGCACUGCGCUCAAGGACAGAAAAACCCAUGAGUCUGAGCUUAAGUUUCAGUGACUCCAGUGAAGUUAUGCCUAUUUAUUUCAGGAUAGCAGUGCUGAUGUGCACCAGCUGAGAAUCUGGCUCUUUAACUCCUAGAUGACAGCAAAAACUAUCUACAGGGGGAGAGAGAGGGAGCAGGGAUUAGAGGCAGCUUGAGCACAGAGCUGUACCACUGAUAAAUGGGCAUCAGCCAUCUCUUGAACAGGCAAGCCUGUUUCUUCCAAAAGCAAAACUGGAAAAUUAAUAAACACAUGUAAAAGACUAAUACAAAGGAUAUAUUUCCUUAAGGAACUGCAAAUACGUACACUAUGCUUUGCAUGCCAGUACAAAGGAUUUUGAUCUUGAGUAACACUUAACCAGUUACUCAUUUUGUGUGCUUGCACAUUCAACCCUCAUGAUUCAAAACAAGCUCCUGUAUAAAAUGCCUUUCAGGACAACCGAUCCGUUCAGUUACAUUGAGCAUAGGCUGUCAACAAAA